UUUUUAUUAUUUGUUUGGUUUCCAAGAAAAACAAAAAUAAAUCUUAAAGCUUUAGGGAGCUUCUUGAGGAGUCUUAUAAACUGCUUAUCAGAAACUGCUAUAAAAUGUGUGUUUGUUUGGAAUAUUUUACCUCUUACCUCUUAAGUGGUCAUUCAGUCCUCCAAUUUCCUUUAUAAAUUCACUUGUUUGUCUUAUGCCCUGAUGGAGUUACCUCUGCUUCUUUGGAUUCUUGCGUGGUCCAUUCUUCAAGCUUGUAUGGGUCAAUGACUUUCGUGGAAAAGAAAUCAGAAUUCAAGAAAUCAAAAUCAGAUGAUAGAUUAAAUGGAAUUCAUGAAACGCAAGUUUUGGCUUUUCUAUGGUACCUAUAAAUUAUUCAGUUUAUGAUGAGAGGAGUUGAUGUCUCUACCUGAUAGAAGUGAUUGUCUCUAUCAGUAAUUUCAGGAUUUAUGAUGGUUAGUUGAUGCUAAGGAUAAUCAUGUAGAGGCACCUGAAGAGCUUCUUGAGAAAACUAAGUUGUUCUUUGCACAUGCUGUUGUUUUUGAGGGAGGGAGCGGAUACACCCAAAUACAAGUUUCAAAAAGACGAAGUGAAAGCAAAAGCUACUAAAAAAAAGUAUUAUAUGAAUGAGUGCAAGCUCAAUUUAAAGCCACAAGAGAUAUUUGCCGAGAAGCAUAUACUUAUUUGCAUAGUGAGGAAAAAUUUGUCUAAGAAGCCUUGCAAAUGUUGAUCCUAUUGAUGUGGCUAGAAAUAUCACAGGGCUGAACACUGAAAUUACGUUAGCUUGUAGAACAGUUGGCUUUGAUCCUAAUCUUGCAUUCAAGGACUGGGUAAGAGGCUGAUAUGGUGAGAUAAAGGUGAGCCAACAAUGACCAACUAAAGAUUAAUGUGGCUGCUACUAGUAAGAACCUGGAGAGUCUGAAAGAUUCCUUAAGAUAUCUAGAUCUUAGCAAUAGCAAUCUGAUGGAUGGAGCAAUCCCCAGUGAUGUAUGGUGCCCAUCCUCGCUAGAAGCUUUAAAUCUGAGAAAAAACAAUUUUCACCACAUACCUAUAACUCAACUUUGUAAGCUGAGAUGCCUAGAUAUCAGUCACUGCAAGAUGCUUGAAGGUAUUCCAGAGCUUCCAUUAAGUCUAAGAUACAUAGAUGCACACGAUUGUACAAGCCUGGAAACUUUAUCAAGUCCAUCAAGUCUACUAUGGUCUUCUCUCCUCCAAUGGUUCAAGUUAGUACAAUUUCAGGAUCUACAAUCGUUUGAAAACUGUACAAGAAUUAUGAUUCCCGGAAGUAGUGGAAUUCCAGGCUGGGUAUUGCAUCAGGAAAUGGAAAGAGAAGUGAGAAUAGAGCUUCCUGUGAACUGGUAAAAGGACAACCACUUCUUGGGAUUUGUUUUGUUCUGUCUUUAUCAAAAUGACAAUGAAUAUGAUUUUAACCUGUGAUUUGGAAUUGCAUGAUGAUGAUUCAUAUGAAGUUGUGGAUCGUGUUGGGUUUCCUUUCCGAUGCGAAUACUGCAAGAUUAAUUGUGGGUGACAUAUUAUCCCAAGAUUUGUAUUCCAGAAAAGUACCAUUCCAAUCAAUUCAGGAACUUUCAGGCUUUAUUUUCUGCUACAAUAUUAGAUAAUGACACAAUUUUGGGCGAUAUCAAGCGGGUGCGGGAUCCAUCUUAUGCACUUUCAAGAUCAUCAGCAGAAAAAUACCCUGUUACUAGAUUUUCUUGGCACUCAAGAUGAUGAUCUUCCCAACAAUUUUCAGGACAAUAUUGAAUCGAUAGCAGAAGGUACUAAUAAUCGUAAU